UUCACUCAAAAUAUUAUGUGUACAUAAUCAUGAGAAACAGAAAAUACUUUCAUGUAAAUUAGAAACACAUCAAUAAGUUAAGAGUGUCAAAGUCAAUACGUUAUACAUUAAUAAAACCAAGACCCAUUAUAAGAAAAUGUUCUUUAAAUAUCUUAAGUUGUGAAUCCUUAAUUAAUGGAUCUACUAUCAUGAGAUUAAUAUUAUUAUGCUCAAUAGACACUCUUCAUUUUUGAACUUUCUCCUUAAUGACAAAAUACUUUAAUUCCAUAUGCUUGGUACAUUUGGCAUAUUUGUUGUUUAUGGAAAAAAUACUGCUGCGUAAUUAUCACAAUGAAUUCUCAGUGGCUUGCUAAUGGUGUCGACUACCUCAAGUCCUGAGAUAAAAUUCUUGGUGAGGACCGACGAGGGUGAGAACGUAGGAGUCUAAAGCAGGAAUAGGAAUGAGGCUGUGAUGAAGUGAAGAGCUCAAGUUCGAUUUAUUAAAAUUUUUUGAGUUGGAU
rnacentral:misc_RNA from 1 species